rnacentral:rRNA from 1 species
UGGGGAAUAUUGCGCAAUGGAGGGAACUCUGACGCAGCAACGCCGCGUGAAGGAUGAAGGUUUUCGGAUUGUAAACUUCUUUGACGAGGGACGAAAGAAAUGACGGUACCUCGAAAACAAGCCACGGCUAACUACGUGCCAGCAGCCGCGGUAAUACGUAGGUGGCGAGCGUUGUCCGGAAUUACUGGGUGUAAAGGGCGAGUAGGCGGGGCUGCAAGUCAGAUGUGAAAGGUGGAGGCUUAACCUCCAGACUGCAUUUGAAACUGCGGUUCUUGAGUGAUGGAGAGGCAGGCGGAAUUCCUAGUGUAGCGGUGAAAUGCGUAGAUAUUAGGAGGAACACCAGUGGCGAAGGCGGCCUGCUGGACAUUAACUGACGCUGAGGCGCGAAAGCGUGGGGAGCAAACAG